rnacentral:misc_RNA from 1 species
AAGUCGUAACAAGGUUUCCGUAGGUGAACCUGCGGAAGGAUCAUUAGCGAGAUUGCUGUGCGCCAUGGGCCCAUGUGGCCUGUGUGCGGGCAGCAAGAGCCAUCCUUGUGUUAUGUGUAUGUGGUGUUGCGUGUGUGUGCGCACUCUUUGUGGUGAGCACGCACAUGCGCAUUCUUUUUCACCCAUUAUCCCAUUUAUUCUAAUCACUGCUCACACGAGCACAAACAACCGAAAACUGCCAGCAAUGGAUCACUCGGUUCUC